ensembl:lncRNA
GCAGAACAUACACUCGAUAGCAGCACACGGAGGAGGAGCACUGCAAACUGGGGCUCUCGCUCUGCAGAGCUCUGGAGCCUGCGCUCCCCUUCAGAAUGAGGACAGUCGCCUUACAGCCGACUCUUCCAAUUCCUCUCGAGUUAUCCCGAGCUACCGAAAUCGGCGUGUGUGUUUUCGCGCUGAGUUGAUGUACCCCUUUUGGUUACAUUUCUACGAGUCGGACUAACGAGAACGGAGCCCUCCGCGUUUCUGCCGCUCUCCAUUCGCUCCUGCAGCCCCCCCCGGCCGUAGCGCUCCGUACGGACCCACCGGUCGGGCCCCGACGGCAGCGCACUGCGGGCAGCCCCGGCCGCAGCCCCUCCGCCGUUCUCUCUCCGUCCGAGGUCGUUUCUCUCUCUCUCCUUUGCAAACGUUUUCCUAAAAAUAAAACUUCCACAGAAAUGUUUUAAGACGAGGUUCGCGAGGAAACGGUUUAAUUUUCACCAUAUGUCGCCACAGAUUAAAGAAAAAAAAAAUCUUUCCGCUGAAGCUACCAAAACCAAAAAAAAAAGACUUAAUCUAAGAAUGCGUUCUCCUUAAUCCGUCCUCCCCCCAACACCCUGUGGGCCAUUUUACGGGCCCCAAAUAAAUCUUUCAGGUGGCAGCGAGGCGAAGAAGCGGCGCAGUGAUGACGGAGGAGCAGCCCCUGCCCCGCGUUAAUGCCACCGACGGGUGGGUCCGCGGCAGCCGCCCACCGCCGGGACGGAGGGACCCAUCUGAAUGAAAAUCUAUUAGCCCUCCUCUCAGAGACGGGAGCCGCGGAAAUCGAUAAAGAG